rnacentral:rRNA from 1 species
ACAUCGGUGGACAGGUGGUGCAUGGUUGUCGUCAGCUCGUGUCGUGAGAUGUUGGGUUAAGUCCCGCAACGAGCGCAACCCCUAUUGUUAGUUGCCAUCAUUCAGUUGGGCACUCUAGCGAGACUGCCGGUAAUAAACCGGAGGAAGGUGGGGAUGACGUCAAAUCAUCAUGCCCCUUAUGACCUGGGCUACACACGUGCUACAAUGGUUGGUACAACGAGUUGCGAGUCGGUGACGGCGAGCUAAUCUCUUAAAGCCAAUCUCAGUUCGGAUUGUAGGCUGCAACUCGCCUACAUGAAGUCGGAAUCGCUAGUAAUCGCGGAUCAGCACGCCGCGGUGAAUACGUUCCCGGGCCUU